rnacentral:snoRNA from 1 species
AAUUCAUGAUGUGGGCAUCUCUAAAUAAAAAUUUUAAAACACCCCCAGGCUUCAUGAAAAAUUUCUCUUUCUAACUGUUUGAACGUUGCAAUCUCCUCUUCAGUU